rnacentral:rRNA from 1 species
AUUGAACGCUGGCGGCAUGCUUUACACAUGCAAGUCGAACGGUAACAGGGUGCUUGCACCGCUGACGAGUGGCGAACGGGUGAGUAAUGCGUCGGAACGUGCCGAGUAGUGGGGGAUAACGCAGCGAAAGUUGUGCUAAUACCGCAUACGUACUGAGGUAGAAAGUGGGGGACCUUCGGGCCUCACGCUAUUCGAGCGGCCGACGUCUGAUUAGCUAGUAGGUGAGGUAAAGGCUCACCUAGGCGACGAUCAGUAGCGGGUCUGAGAGGAUGGUCCGCCAAAUGGGAGCUGAGACGCGGCCCAGAAUCCUACGGGAGGCAGCAGUGGGGAAUUUUGGACGAUGGGCGAAAGCCUGAGCCAGCCAUGCCGCGUGUCUGAAGAAGGCCUUCGGGUUGUAAAGGACUUUUGUCAGGGAGGAAAUCCCUAGUGCUAAUAACACUGGGGGAUGACAGUACCUGAAGAAUAAGCACCGGCUAACUACGUGCCAGCCGCCGCAGUAA